rnacentral:rRNA from 1 species
ACAUACGACCAUAUCCAUUGGAAUAUUCGGGAUCCCGUCCGCUCUCCCCUAGACAAGCCAAUGAGAGCCGGAUUAGUAGUUGGGUCGGUGACGACCAGCGAAUACCUGGUGUUGUAUGUU